GAAUUGGUGGUUCAGUGGUAGAAUUUCUUGCCUUCCGUGGGGGAGAUCCAGGUUCGAUUCCUGGCCAAUGCA
rnacentral:tRNA from 1 species